AUUCAUAAAAUGAAAAGAAUAACACAUAUUCAGAGAAUAGUGGUUUGGAUUACAAAUAAGCCAAAUCUAACAUAGUGUCAGUGCUCAAAAAAAUAGAAAUUAUUAUAAAUGGAGCCAUUAGCUUUCAGAAGAAAAAUAAUUUGAUUUUAAAUGAGUUCAUUGCUUACACCAAUCUAUAUAUUUGAAAUGAAAAAUUUCCAUUUCUUUUGGCAAACCUUUGCAUGAGGAACCCAUUAAUUUAGUUAUUUCCUACCCUCAGGUGAUUUGCAUUGAGUUUAUGCUCAAACUAAGAUUUGAAAUCAAAUUCAAGAUUGCUAUUUUGCAAUGUUAAAAUAAUAAAAAAAAAAAAGGAGCAGAGAACUGGGCCUUUUACUUAUAUCUCAGUCAAUUCUUUCCGUCUCUCUAUAUUACAAUCUUUUAACUUUACUUAGUGUUUCUUUGUCCCUCCUUUAGCUAUACUAGUAACAUUGUGAAGGUUUUUUUUCUGAGCUCUCAUUAUUUUACAUAGUUUUGAUAAUUCAUAUUUUUAAAAUGUAUACUGUUUGUUUUACCAAGAUGAUCUAUGUGGUUACAUGGAAAUGUGUGUUUUCCUCCUUGGUUUGAGUGAGCUUUGUAAGUAUCUUGGAACAGAGACAAGCAGUUGUUGACUCCGUUUCUGAAUACUUCAGGAAGAUUAAGCUGGUUCUGCAGGUGGAUGGGUUUCUUUAGUUCUAUUGCCUGAGUGGGAGCUGAAUGUAUCAUUACUACAGCCUGCCAUCACUCACCACAUGGAACACAUUCUUACUUUAUAUGAAUGUGUUUCUUUCUAUGCAGAGAUUUUAUGCUAAAGUAGGUUUGGUUGGGUAUGUUGUCAGUAUAGCCCCUUUGCCUUUUUCUACAUGGCAAAAAUUGAUCUAUUUUAAUAAGCUUUUUGUUUGUUUAAUACUAAUGCAUGAAUAAAUUAGUCUUGUUUUUUACUCUGAGGUGCAGAUCAAUAUUUUAGUGGAAUGCUGAUUAUUUUAGUGAAUGGAAAUGAGCUGGCAAAUUGCCAUCCACAAGAUUUGAAGACUAGCUCUGAGACAUUUGCAUGAGUGGAUGAAAUGCACCUCUGAUAGAAAUUAAGAGUCACAUUUGCAUAGUUCCUUGCCAUUUGCACAUAUACCUCAUUAUCACAACAGCCCUAUAGAUAGAACAAAGCAUGUUUUGCCUUUUCUUUUUUUAGAUAAUAUACAAGAAUGUGAAGAGAUGAUAGCUUACCCAAGGUCACAGCAGGAAGCCAGAAAGCCAACAGUCACACUUAGCUCUUCUAGCAUCAAAGCCUGAUGCUGUCACCUCCAUGAAUGUGGACCCAAUAUGUUCUUUUCCUAUUUUUUCCAUUUGGGGAUCAGAAAUAUUAUACAAUGGCCUAUGAGAUUUCUUAUAUGCUCUUUAAAAGAAGCAGUAUAUUUCAACCAGUGUGCCAAAGGAAGUAGAGAAUCAUUUGUGUUAUUAUAUUAAAGAUUUCUAUUCUAUAUGAACUACAUGUAGGAUUGAAUCAAAUGGCAUUUUGUUUUCUCGGUGUUGCUAUUUUUCUGUUGAAAUUGAGAUGAAUAUAUCAUAGGUCCAUAUUCCACUAUGUUUCCACUUUCUUGAGAUACUGGAUGACUAGAAACUAAAAUGAGGGAUUAUGGAAUGGCUAAUGUUAGUGUCACCCAUCAAUAAUGAGUGAAAUUUGCUGAAAUUGAACUGUUGCUAUCAGAAGGGGGUGUCUUUAACUAAUCAGGACAGGAAAAGUUUGACCAGGAAAUGGUCAGGUAACUGUAUGAAGAUGGGCGAUAUAGAUGAGGGUCUCUGUGUGUGAUGGGGUCUCCUACUUCCAGGUAUAAAAGCAAGAAGUUAGAAAGUCUCUCCCUCUGAACUUCAUGCUCUGAGGUACUCCAACAUGAAACAGAGAAGCAAAGAGUGGAAGUGAACAAACUAACAAUUUCUUUGGGUCAAAUAUAAAUGAGAACCAUAUUCUCUGACCUUGGAUCAAAGAGAAAAGCAAACAAAUUCUACAAUACAAAAAAAAAUCCAUUCAUUCAUAGAGAUAAAAAUAAUAGUACAAGUAAUAGGGUUUAUAAAAGGGCGGGUCUGGGGUAGAUUUCCACUGUUAUUUAUUGCUUGAUAAGAUUCUCUUGACACUAUGAGACAGAUAAUAGUUUAUUGGCUACUAAAGAGGACAAACUAAGGUUAGAGAGGUUAAGUAGUUUGGCAAAGUUGCACAUCAGGCAGUGAAAAAUUAGUGGCUUGGAGAAAAUAACCAUGAUAAGGUUUUCCAAAUUCUUAAGACAAUAGCUACUUGAAAUAAUUUGAUUGUGUCUUAGAUACUAUAAACUAUGUAGUUACAAGUGAAAUCACAGAAUUCAGAGUAACUAAUGAGGACUUAUACAUUUGAGAUAGUCCUUGAGAUUCCCUGUGAACUAGCAUGAAGUGACUGUCACAAAAAAAUUCAUUUUAUGAGCAAUGGGAUUAACAAGAAGUUCUAUGGUUAAAUUGCAGGUGAUAGGAAUGGAGGGAAAAGCCUUUCAAUCUUUAGGUUUGUAGCUUGUGGAUGCUACAUAGUGGAAAUACAGCAAGGCACUACUUUAUCCUCUCCUAAGAGAUGUCCAACCCUCUACCCACAGAGUAAAUGAUCUGUAAUCACUACAGAGUGUGAAGGAGGAACUUUGGGGCAGAGAUAUCUGUAGGAAAGUCUCAGAAUCCUAUCCUUUGAGGCACAAAAAUACCUUUCCUGCAAUAUGUUUGCCCUACUGCACUCUAUUAUUACAUUAAAGU
rnacentral:lncRNA from 1 species